CAUGCAGCUAUCUGAGACUGCAAUCAAUUUUGCUAAGUGCAGACAUUUCUUGAUGGGAUUGCUACAGACCACUAUGUGAUGACAGGUUCUUUUCCCACUGUGUGCAGGCAGAUAUGCACUAAGUGCAGCUAAUGCUCUUCCCCGAAGCAAAGCAAGGCAGAUGCAAGAGUUAAACAAAAUUCAGGUAUGCAAAUAAUUAAACUGAGAUGGAUACAAUACUGGAGGAACUUUUUGCUGCUGCUAAAGUUUUGCUGCUGUACUGGUGGUUUUUGUUGUUUCUAGUGUGUGGUCAAAGAAUGCUGAUAUCUAACUAUUAUUCUUUCUGGUGCUA